CUCUGGUUCCUCUUGGUGCCAGAUGGAUGUGUAGAGAGAAUUGGCUGAAGAAGUUGAACUGUGGUAGCUGUAUAUAAGACGGCAAAAUCUAAUCAGUGAACCUGUCAUCCAGAAUAGUUGUAUGUAGUUAAAGUGGAAUUGAAGUACCUCAUUGACAGAGAGCACUAGGAUUUCCUUGUCUGACCUGUUUGUUUAUUUGUAUCCUGGUUUUCUUAUUUUUACAAGUAACUCAAGGCAGCAAGAACAUAUUAAACACACCUUUCUCCUCCUGUUUUACAACAAUCCUGUGAGGUGAGUUGGGCUGAGAGUGUGACUGACUGAAAGUCACCCAGCUGGCUUUCAUGACUAAGGCAGGAUUUGAACUCAUGGUCUUCCACUUCCUAGCUAACCAUUAGACCAAACUAUCUUUUGUUCAUAUUUGUCCUUUGGGGAUAUCUUUAGAUAGAAUGGGAUAAAUAUUCUGAAAAAGGGCAACAAAGAAUUUUAGAAGGGACAAUGUUCAUUCUCAGAACACCUGUCAAUAUGAAAUAAGAAAACUGAGGAAGAUACAUGUGUUGAUGACGGAGUAUAUUCAAGCAAGGAGGGUCUUAUUCCUGUCAAUGCAAGCACUCUGCCAGUAGUCAGUAAUAGUGCUAUUCAAAAUUUGCAGGUACAGCUUAUAAAAUGUUUACAAUAUCUGAAAAAACCCUUUGUUGUAGUUUUUAGAUUCUCUAAUUAGGCUGGGGGGAGGGAAUGGUCUGUAAAUUAAGUGGAAUUUUGGAGAAUGAUUGCCAAUUUAAGCCUAGUCUGACAUUGAAGUCUUCUGAAAUGAUGAUAUGGGCAGUGGAAAAGUGUAAUUGAAUACUCCUUAUGUAAUUUUUCACUUUUCCCCAAAUUUCAAAAACACAUGGUGAAGGGAUGUUUGGAAAUAUAUAGAAGUUAAUGAGAAGCAAUUUCUCUCCAAAGUUGAGAAUAGUUAUUUGUGUAAGGUUGUAAGAUGGGUCUAUUGACAUCUUAGUAUUUAGAGUGGUUGAAAUAUGGAUGUUCACACCAGCACGUCUCCCUCAAACAAUGCUAGGAACGGUUGAGGAUAAUGAUUUAUAUCACAAAUAAAGAGAUUAUUUGUUGACCAAACAGAAUCAAUUAGAGGUCUGGCUAUUUUACGUGUUGCCACUAGAGGUUCUCUCAAAUUGUCCAAUCUUCAAUAAUAUCAACUUGCUCUGAAUCUGGCAGGGUACCGAAAGAGUCUCUCCCCCGCAGAACGUAAUCUGUGCACUGUCUUGCUGUAGGUAAACAGUUUUUGCAUAGGAAGUAAUCUCUUUAGGAAGGGAGGGGAAAAGAGCUAGUGUCCUUGAGGUUAUCUGAAGUCAAGUGGUCAUAUUUAUUCUUUAAAGUGGCAAUACUCCCUCAGCCAGAUUCGCUCAGGAGCAGGCCAAGUUCCUCUGAGCACAAUAUGUUUUAGAAAGACUGAAAAAGUAUGAAGAAAAGGCUUCCUUUUAAACAACAUAUUGGGAAUUGUGAUCUGCAUAAAUUUACAUGUCCAUCGGAGAUUCGUUUUUCACUCCUUCCCACAGAAGUAAUCAGUUCCCUGACCAUUGCUUUCACUUUUCCUUGGGUUGUUAAGUCUGGCUUCCCUAUUGACUGCAAAAGGUGACAUGAUCCCGGCACACUGUAACCAUCAUAAAUAUGAACCAGUUACCACGCAUUUGAAUUUUGAUCACAUAACCAUUGGGAUGCUUCAACAAUCAUGCUACCCGUUGAAACCUCCAUGUGUAUCCCCGGUUCCUUUGGCUUGCUGGCAUAGUAUAAAAACAGACCCAAAAGGAACCAGGGAGAUAAAGAUCAGCAGCUUCCGUUUCCGCUUCGGCACAUUCCACAGAAUUCUUCAAAUCUGCAGGUUUCCUCAAACCUUCAAGCUGAAUCUAAAUAUGUAUGUGUGUAUAUA